AGAUUGAACGCUGGCGGCAUGCCUUACACAUGCAAGUCGAACGCGAAAGGGGGGCAACCCCCGAGUAGAGUGGCGAACGGGUGAGUAAUACAUCGGAACGUAUCCAGUAGCGGGGGAUAACCUCUCGAAAGAGAGGCUAAUACCGCAUACGACCUACGGGUGAAAGAGGGGGAUCGCAAGACCUCUCACUAUUGGAGCGGCCGAUGUCGGAUUAGCUAGUUGGCGGGUAACGGCCCACCAAGGCUACGAUCCGUAGCUGGUCUGAGAGGACGACCAGCCACACUGGAACUGAGACACGGUCCAGACUCCUACGGGAGGCAGCGGUGGGGAAUUCUGGACAAUGGGCGCAAGCCUGAUCCAGCCAUGCCGCGUGAGUGAAGAAGGCCUCGGUUGUAAGACU
rnacentral:rRNA from 1 species